rnacentral:rRNA from 1 species
AGUGAACGCUGGCGGUAGGCCUAACACAUGCAAGUCGAACGGCAGCACAGUAAGAGCUUGCUCUUACGGGUGGCGAGUGGCGGACGGGUGAGGAAUACAUCGGAAUCUACUUUUUCGUGGGGGAUAGCGUAGGGAAACUUACGCUAAUACCGCAUACGACCUACGGGUGAAAGCAGGGGAUCUUCGGACCUUGCGCGAUUGAAUGAGCCGAUGUCGGAUUAGCUAGUUGGCGGGGUAAAGGCCCACCAAGGCGACGAUCCGUAGCUGGUCUGAGAGGAUAAUCAGCCACACUGGAACUGAGACACGGUCCAGACUCCUACGGGAGGCAGCAGUGGGGAAUAUUGGACAAUGGGCGCAAGCCUGAUCCAGCCAUACCGCGUGGGUGAAGAAGGCCUUCGGGUUGUAAAGCCCUUUUGUUGGGAAAGAAAAGCAGCAGGUUAAUACCCCGCUGUUCUGACGGUACCCAAAGAAUAAGCACCGGCUAACUUCGUG